rnacentral:rRNA from 1 species
GACAGGAGGGUGCAAACGUUGUUCGGAAUUACUGGGCGUAAAGCGCGUGUAGGCGGUUAUGCAAGUCGGGUGUGAAAGCCCCGGGCUCAACCCGGGAAGUGCAUUCGAUACUGCGUAGCUAGAGUACUGGAGAGGAUGGUGGAACUCUGGGUGUAGAGGUGAAAUUCGUAGAUAUCUGGAGGAACACCGGUGGCGAAGGCGGCAUCCUGGACCGGCAUUGACGCUGAUGAGCGAAAAGCUAGGGGAGCAAACGGG